AUAUGUCGACUGGGGAGCCGAAAAGGCUGAGAGGAUCUAAAAAGAUCGACCCUUUGAACCUGAUCCGGGUAAUACCGGCGGAGGGAUUUUAGUGGAAUUGAAU
rnacentral:ncRNA from 2 species